rnacentral:rRNA from 2 species
UCAAUGGAGAGUUUGAUCCUGGCUCAGGACGAACGCUGGCGGCGUGCUUUAUACAUGCAAGUCGAACGAUGAAGUUCCUUCGGGAAUGGAUUAGUGGCGAACGGGUGAGGAACACGUGAGAAACCUGCCUUUCAUUCUGGGAUAACACCGGGAAACCGGUGCUAAUACCGGAUACUCCAUCUUGGCGGCAUCGCCGAGCUGGGAAAAAAUUUUGAUGAAAGAUGGUCUCGCGGCCUAUCAGCUAGUUGGUGAGGUAAAGGCUCACCAAGGCGACGACGGGUAGCCGGCCUGAGAGGGCGACCGGCCACACUGG